GCAAAGGUGGCUCAGUGGUAGAGUACUUGCCUUGCAUGCAUGAGGCCCUAGGUUCGACUCCUCAGUGCC
rnacentral:tRNA from 1 species